rnacentral:rRNA from 1 species
UAAGGGAAUCUUCCACAAUGGGCGAAAGCCUGAUGGAGCAACGCCGCGUGUGUGAUGAAGGCUUUCGGGUCGUAAAGCACUGUUGUAUGGGAAGAACAGCUAGAAUAGGAAAUGAUUUUAGUUUGACGGUACCAUACCAGAAAGGGACGGCUAAAUACGUGCCAG